rnacentral:rRNA from 1 species
GUCGUACGAGAACCCGGCUUCGGCUGGGGAGUAAAGUGGCGAACGGGUGAGUAACACGUGGGUAACCUAUCCCCGGGCUCGGAAUAACCUCGCGAAAGCGGGGCUAAUACUGGAUAACAUUCCGAAGUCCUUGGAACUCGGAAUCAAAGGUGGCCUAGGCUUGCAAGCUACCACCUGGGGAGGGGCCCGCGUCUGAUUAGCUAGUUGGUAGGGUAACGGCCUACCAAGGCGACGAUCAGUAGCCGGCCUGAGAGGGUGACCGGCCACACUGGAACUGAGACACGGUCCAGACUCCUACGGGAGGCAGCAGUGAGGAAUAUUGCGCAAUGGGCGAAAGCCUGACGCAGCAACGCCGCGUGGGUGAUGAAGGCCUUCGGGUCGUAAAACCCUGUCGAGUGGGAAGAAAGCGGGGGACCUAAUACGUCCAUCCGCCUGACUGUACCACCAGAGGAAGCCCCGGCUAACUCCGUGCCAGCAGCCGCGGUAAUACGGAGGGGGCCAGCGUUGUUCGGAAUUAUUGGGCGUAAAGGGCGCGUAGGCGGCCGCGUAAGUCGGUUGUGAAAUCCCCUGGCUCAACCAGGGAACUGCGACCGAAACUGCACGGCUUGAGGCCGGGAGAGGAGAGUGGAAUUCCCAGUGUAGCGGUGAAAUGCGUAGAUAUUGGGAGGAACACCGGUGGCGAAGGCGGCUCUCUGGACCGGUUCUGACGCUGAGGCGCGAAAGCUAGGGGAGCAAACAGGAUUAGAUACCCUGGUAGUCCUAGCUGUAAACGAUGGGCACUUGGUGUUGCGGGUAUCGACCCCUGCAGUGCCGAAGCUAACGCAUUAAGUGCCCCGCCUGGGGAGUACGGUCGCAAGGCUGAAACUCAAAGGAAUUGACGGGGGGCCCGCACAAGCAGUGGAGCAUGUGGUUCAAUUCGACGCAACGCGAAGAACCUUACCUGGGGUUUGAACUGCAGGCGACCGCCCCAGAA